rnacentral:rRNA from 1 species
GAUUAACGCUGGCGGCGUGCCUAAUGCAUGCAAGUCGAACGUGGCCCUUUCGGGGGACAACGUGGCGGACGGGUGAGGAACACGUGGGGAACCUGCCCAUUGGUGGGGGGUAGCCCGCGGAAACGCGGGGUAAUUCCGCAUACGCUCGCUUGAGAGUAACUCAGGUGAGGAAAGGGUCUUCGGACUCGCCGAUGGAGGGGCCUGCGUCCGAUUAGCUUGUUGGUGGGGUAACGGCCUACCAAGGCGAUGAUCGGUAGCUGGUCUGAGAGGACGGCCAGCCACAGGGGGACUGAGACACGGCCCCCACUCCUACGGGUGGCU